rnacentral:lncRNA from 1 species
CACAAUCUGAAUCUUUGAUGUGUCAGAUGAUAUAGCAUCAAAUUAACUAAACUGUAUACAAAUCUCAAGGAAAAUGAUCAGAAGUAUUUGAAUCCACUCACAUGAACACACAAACAUCCAUAUAUAUUUUUUGACACAAAUUGGAAAAAUUAUAUGAACAUAAAAAGACAUGCACCAGAACAUUCAUUCUUUCAUUUUUUUAAAAGAUUUAUUUAUUUCUCAACCCCCACCCCCUGUUCCCCCAUUGUCUGCUCCGUGGCAUUCACUCUGUGUUCUUCUAUGUCUGCAUGUAUUCUCAAUAGGCAGCUUCAGGAACCGAUCCCGGGACCUUCUGGAGUGGGAGAGAGGCAAUUAUUUUCCUGCGCCACCUCAACUCCCUGUUGUGCUACGUCUUCUUAUUUUUUCUCCUCUGUGUCUUGUUGCGUCGUCCUGCUGUGCCAGCUCUCCGCAUCGGCUGGCACUCCUGCACCGGGGGGCUUUCCCACACUGGGUGUCCUUGCCAUGCAGGGCAGCACUCCAGCAUGGGUCGGCCCUCCACACAGGCCAGCUCGCCACGUGGGCCAUCCCGGGCAUCCAGCCCUGGGCCUCCUGUAUGCUAGACAGCAGCCCAAUUGGUUCAGCCACAUCCAUUUCCCUCUUGCAUUUUUCACGUAUUAUUUUUGUGGUGGAAAAACAGGAAGAAUUCAAAUAAUUAUUAAUGGUAAAUGAAUGAUUUAUCGAGAUUCAUCCAUUUACUCAAGCAUCACCUCCUCCAUUCAGUGUUCUGAUUCCCUCUUCCAUCCCCAAGAACAAUGGACAACUCUCUCCUGCCACGGACUAUGAGCAGAGCAAACCUGGUACUCAAUCACAUACCAAAUACUGUGACAUGCUGGCUCAACUACUAGCUGCCUGAGGACAAGCUUUAUGUCUUACUAGUUAGUCCAGCCCCAGUCCUUAGAACACCAACGACCCACGACAGGCAGCCGAUGUGCAGAUAUUAAAUGAUGGAACAGUGCAACCAAUGUUUUAAAUAGUGAUGGAAAGCGGAAAUGGAAACCAGCAAGAGAGGACAGUUCCAGCAGUUGAGUCAAGGCAUGAAAGAUGACUGAAUUUGAGUCCAGGCAUAAUAAUGAGCUAGUAAAAUGCAUGGCUUAAAAUUUUAUCAUGAAAACAUUUUAAUACAAAAUAAAAUAAUAUAAUGAAUUUCCAAAGUGUGCUCAUCACUCGGCUUCAGAAAUAUCCACACAUGGCCAAGCUCAUUUCAUCCAUACCUCACCCUCACAAGGGGAUGAUUUUGAAGCACACUCCAGCCUCUCAUCAUUUCACCCAUAAACAUUUCAAAAUGUAUUUCUAACAGAUAGGAAAGUGGUAUAAAAUGUUAUAUAAAUAUGUGACUUUCAAGAGCAACUAAGGCCAUGAAGCCUAAGGGUUGGUGAGGAGCAGUACCCUGCCAUCCCAGAACUUUUAAAAUCAGCCAGGGAAGCAGACUUGGCCCAGUGGUUAGGGCGUCCACCUACCACAUGGGAGAUCCACGGUUCAAACCCCGGGACCUCCUUGACCCGUGUGGAGCUGGCCCAUGCACAGUGCUGAUGCGCAAGGAGUGCCCUGCCACUCGGGUGUCCCCCUUGUAGCCCCACCCAUAAGGAGUGCACCCCAUAAGGAGAGCCACCCAGCAUGAAAGAAAGUGCGGCCUGCCCAGGAAUGGCACCGCACAGAGAGCUAACACAGCAAGAUGACGCAACAAAAAGAAACAAAGAUUCCUCGUGCCACUGAUAAGGAUAGAAGUGGUCGCAGAAGAACACACAGCAAAUGGACACAGAGAGCAAACAACUUAGGGGAGGAGGGGAGAGAAAUAAAUUUUUAAAAUUUUCUAAGUAUAUAAAAAAAUAAAAAAUAAAAUCAGGCAGAGGUGGCCAUUGUGUGGCCAAAGUAUACCCCAAUGCAAAGAGAAAUGAAGGAACACAACUUGCCUAGAUGGAAGGCAGAGUAUGUGGCUUACUCCUCAUUCCCUUUGAAGGCUCAUUCAGUUCACUAGAAAACUUUACACUACCUUUAUUUAUUUAUUUAUUUUUUGACUUAGGCCAGUAGUUUAUUUACAUAGGGAGGGAAGAGAAAUGGGAGAAAAUAACAGAUCAGGGGUCCCAGGUAGAGAGGAAAGGGCUGAAGAGUGAUAAAAUGGCCUGAUUUACAGACUACAAUUCCCCACUACAGGUUAUUAUGUUUGUUUGUUCUUUUAAUUUAUUUUUUAAUGUUACAUUCAAAAAAUAUGAGGCCCCCAUAUACCCCCCCACCCCCCUCACCCCACUUCUCCCACAACAACCUCCUCCUCCAACAUCAUGGGACACUCACUGCACUUGGUGAACACAUCUCUGAGCACUGCUGCACCACACGGUCAGUGGCUUUAGCUGGUCAUCAUCUCCUCUUCAUCAGGGCAGUAUUUUCACACGCACGCCACAGCUAAGUGAUACAAAACCUUCCUUUUUGUGUCAGGUCUGAGCAGAUGGGAACAGGGCUAUAGGCAGAGCGGCUGAAUAUCACCUGUUUUCCCAGGACGGGCUCAGUUUUACUUUGUUCCAGAAUAACGACAACGAGCGUAUCCGCUUUAUACUCAAAACUUGGGUGGAUUUGACUCCUGGGUUUGGCUAACAAUGAUGGAGGGCCAUCACUCCACAUGCAGGUCUGCAGUCCAGGAUGUCAGGUUGGUUUCCAGGAGGAGAUGGGAUUAGCAGAGAAGCUGUUUUCCAAAUUGAAUGUUUCAGGAGCUUGUGUAGGUGGAUGGGUCCACACAUACUGCUCAGGGUUUGGGGUUCUCUGAUUUGUGCCUUGGAGAUAAACCCCCUGUCCUCUCCUUUAGGCGCUCUGCCUAAAAUGGACUGACCCUCACUUCUGGGGGUCUGUGUGAGUGGCCCACAGGCCAAGACUGCUGGUUUCAAGAGCGAAACAGCUGGGACCUUCUGGAAUUCUGCCAGUUCUCCCAUGGUGUCGGUGUUUAAAUUAGUGACGAAUUUUUACAGGAAAUCACUAUCUCCUUAAGAGGAGAGGUCAUUAUUAGCAGCAUUUAACUAUUUUUAUUUUGUGAAAUAUUUUGAGUUUCUUGAGGACGCCUUGCGAUUACAAGCUUUUUGGUGUUAGCAUGCUAGAUGUGAACAUAGAUGCAUGGUAUAUAUGUGUCAAUUGACAAAUUCCUAAGUGUUCAGAGCCUAAUAUGAGGACAUUUGCCAAAGUCCAAUUAGUUAGUGUCAUUUUAAAAACUCUUUGGAUAAACGUUCAGUGUUCAAAGGAGGAAUAUUUAAUUUGAAAUAAAUUAUUAAGAUCGUUUUCUACCCAUAAUUUUAGCAAUUUUUGCUUUCAAAUAUUUAAUUAGAAAGCAGUUCUUUAUGGGCAUUUUAUGUGAACUAAAUGACUUCAUCUCAUAUUGUUUCCAAAAUCCUCUUCACAUCUCAAUACUGUGGGGUCUCCUUUACUAUAGUGGAUUACAGUGAUUUACUAUAGUGAACUUGCCAGCUGGGUCCAAUUGGCAAAUUACUUUGAUCUCCUUCUAAACUUUUUAAUGACCUUUUAAAACCAAUUUAUUUAGGUAUAAUUUGCAUUCAAUACAAUUCACCCAUUUGAAGUUUUCAUUUAAUGAGUUGUGGUAAAUGAACAAAUUUGUAAAUGAAGCAUUACCACAGAUAACUUUUGUAAGACUUCUCUAUCCCCUCAAAGUUUCCUUGUUUCCCUUUGUAGUCACUUAUCUUUGCCACCUCCUGACCUCAAGCAUCUGUCGAUCAGCUUUCUAUCUCCUUAGAUAUGCCUUCUCUGAGGUUUCUUAUCAAUUGAGUCAUAUAGUGUGUAAUAUUCUUGGGUGUAUUGUCUUUCAUUUGCAUGACAUUUUGGAGAUUCCUUUAUGUUGUUGUAUAUAUUAGUCAUUCUUUCAUUUUUAAUGCUGACUUGUAUUCCAUUGUACAACUUUGCCAUAUUUAAUUUACUUUUCAACAGUUCAUAGACACUUGGGUUAUUUUCCUUUUAUUUUUUCACCUAUUAUGAAUAAUGCCACUAUGAAUAUGAGUGUAAAAGUCUUUAUGGGACAUAUGUUUUUGUCUCUGUUGGUAGGUAACUUAGGAAAGGGAUUUCUUGCUUAAAUGAUAGGCUUAACUAAAAUAAUAAUAAAAGUGUUUCUAAAGUGGCUGUACAAAUGUGUAUUCCUGCCAAUAUUAUACAAAGGUUUCAGUUUAUCAAUAUCUCACUGACAGGUGGUACCAUCAGUCUUUUAAAUUUUAGCUAUUCCUUUAGGUGUGUAGUGGUGUUUCAGCAUGACUUGAUUUGCAUUUCCCUAGUGACUAAUGAUGUUGAGCAUAUUUAUUGUUCCUGUUUUGCAUAUGUAUAUCUUUCCUUUUUGAUGAAAUGUUUGUUCAAUUUUGUACCCUUUAUUGAGUUGUCUGUCUUCCUAUAAUUGUGUUUAAAGAGUUCUUUUAACAUUCCGGAUACAAGUCCUUUAUCAGAUAAAUGUUUUACUUUUUAUUUUAUUUUCUGGAUCUGUGGCUUGUCUUCAGAUUUUUUACAUGGUGUCUUUUGACUAGUUAACAUUUUCAAUUUGGUGAGUUCUAAUUUAUAAAGUUUUUCUUUUAUGGUCUAUGUUCUUAAAAAACCUACCUCGGGGUGGGAGUAUAUGGGAACCUCAUAUUUUUUCAAUGUAACAUUUAAAAGAAAAUAAAGAAAAUUAUUUAAAAAAAAAAAAACAAUAAACAACCUACCUAACACAAGACCACAGAAAAUUUCUCCUGUUUUCUUCUGGAUGUUUUGUUUUAGCUCUUACCAUUAUGUGUGAGGUAAAUUUUGUUUAUUGAGAUAGGUAAGAGUCAAGGUUCAUAGUUUUCCAAACAUAUAUCCAAUUAUUUCAGCAGCACAUAUUUAAAAGUCUCCCCUUUUUAAAUUAAAUUACCAUGCAUCUUUGUUAAACAUCUAUUAUCUUAUACCUGUGGAUCUAUUACUUGCUAAUGAUGUGGUAGUUGCAGCCCUCCAGCAGGGUGGAUGAGAAGACCUGGGGAGUAAGUACCCGUCGACCCCCACCCCGCCCCCCCAGUGGUCCCUAGAUAACGAGGUAGAAGCUGGAGGUUAAAAUGCCUUAGGCUCCUUGCUUGUUGGGUAGGAUUAACACUUCUGAGAUCUGUUCUCCAGUCUUCUGGAGCUCCCCAGGGAAACCCAGUGUUGGCUGCUCGGUAGGGCACCCUAUAAACAACUUUCACCCAAAUAUUUGCUUCAGAUACCUUGCUUCCAGGAAACCUAACCUGUGACCAUUGCACCUUUUACUGAUCUAAUUCCAAGAUAGUGCUGGCAGUGCUCUGCAUUUUACAAAGACCAGGCCAAA